CUUCAGGACAUUGUCCCUUAAAUUUUCGCCUACAAAACCCCGCCUCCACUAGUGCUCAUAGGUCGGUCAUCGAACGAUGCUUGCUGAUAAUUCUGAGCAACUGUAAAUUAGGGUUUCCGUUGGCCGUUCACUCGAGGCCGAACAAUGUGUUAAUAAUAUGACCAAAUCCACAGAUGAAUCAGCUGAAGUAGAAUUAGAGGGUCGACCUGCUAGGCUAGGACUAGGUGCAACAGUCCAAAAUUGGGCAUUCAAAUGACCCUGUUGAAAGGAAAUUGCUGGCUAAAUUGAAUAUUGGAAGAAUAAAUGCAUCCAAAAAGACUCUGGAAUCCACCCCGUCUGCAAGAGAUGGAUGUGGUGAUACUGAUGAUGACGAGGACGACUUGGAUAGCAGAACCAAUACAUUUGCCAAGAAGAGGCCAGUGCCUUUGACCUCAUCUUUACAGGUAAAGAAGAAGAAGAAGAAGAAGAAGAAGUAACUGUUCCUUGCCAAAAUGAAAGCUUUCAAGUGCUUUUAUUACUUUCUUGACACAGGUUGAUGAAUUUCAUUUAUUUCAUUAAAUCUUCAUAUUGUCCCUUAGUUUCCUUGUACCCAUUUUGGGAAAGUGGCUAUUACCAAUGACGCCUCCCUUCGGACAGGUACUGUAAUGUUAUUUCUAGAUUGUUAAAAUGGAAAAUGUAUAUUAGGGCUCUUUAAUUUUGCGCUAUACAACUAAUUUAUAUGUUUGUGAGCUCAAUGAGCUUUAGCUUCAUAGUUUAUGAAUUUUUUCUUCGACUUUA